rnacentral:rRNA from 1 species
GAUGAACGCUAGCGGCAGGCCUAAUACAUGCAAGUCGAACGGGAUCCAGAUCAAAGCUUGCUUUGGUCUGGUGAGAGUGGCGCACGGGUGCGUAACGCGUGAGCAACCUACCCUUGUCAGGGGGAUAGCCCGGCGAAAGUCGGAUUAAUACCGCAUGACAUCAUUGAGAGGCAUCUUUCGAUGAUCAAAGAUUUAUCGGACAAGGAUGGGCUCGCGUGACAUUAGCUAGUUGGUAAGGUAACGGCUUACCAAGGCUGCGAUGUCUAGGGGCUCUGAGAGGAGAAUCCCCCACACUGGUACUGAGACACGGACCAGACUCCUACGGGAGGCAGCAGUAAGGAAUAUUGGUCAAUGGACGGAAGUCUGAACCAGCCAUGCCGCGUGCAGGAAGACGGCCCUAUGGGUUGUAAACUGCUUUUAUACGGGAACAAACGUCGGUACGUGUACCGGUCUGAGUGGACCGUAAGAAUAAGGAUCGGCUAACUCCGU